rnacentral:rRNA from 1 species
CAAAGGAAUUGACGGGACCGCACAAGCGGUGAUGAUGUGGUUAAUUCGAUGCAACGCGAAAACCUUACCUACCCUUGACAUGUCCGGAAUCCCGAAGAGAUUUGGGAGUGCUCGCAAGAGAACCGGAACACAGGUGCUGCAUGGCUGUCGUCAGCUCGUGUCGUGAGAUGUUGGGUUAAGUCCCGCAACGAGCGCAACCCUUGUCAUUAGUUGCCAUCAUUUGGUUGGGCACUCUAAUGAGACUGCCGGUGACAAACCGGAGGAAGGUGGGGAUGACGUCAAGUCCUCAUGGCCCUUAUGGGUAGGGCUUCACACGUCAUACAAUGGUCGGUACAGAGGGUUGCCAACCCGCGAGGGGGAGCUAAUCCCACAAAGCCGAUCGUAGUCCGGAUCGCAGUCUGCAACUCGACUGCGUGAAGUCGGAAUCGCUAGUAAUCGUGGAUCAGCAUGUCACGGUGAAUACGUUCCCGGGUCUU